AUGUCCCAUUUCCCCAUCCCCUACCUAGGGUUUCCACUCUCUGUGUGCAAGGUCCCAUCGUCUACCCUGCAGACCUUGGUGGACCAUCUGGUGAAGAAAUUAUCCACUUGGUGCGCUUCCAUACUCUUGAAGUGUGAGCGUCUAGCUCUUGUCCGGCAUGUGCUUUCCGCCAUGCCGACCCAUCUCCUCAUGGCUAUGGUGAUCUGCCAGCCAGUCCUUAAGUGCAUCAGUCGCAUCAUCCGAGACUUCCUCUGGCACGGUCGCCGCGACACCAACGACGGCCACUGUCUUGUUAAUUGGCAACACGUGUGCGAGCCCUUCGAGUACAGCGGUCUGGGCAUCUUGCACCUGUGCCGUUUUGGCAUCGCAUUGCAAACGGGGUGGCUAUGGCUACAACGCAUAGAGUCGUCUCGCCCCUAGAUACACCUACAACUGCCUAAUGACCCUGAUGCUCGCGCCAUCUUCCGAGCGUCCACAUCUUGGUGCGUCGGGGACGGCUAGUCUUGACGUUUUUGGGAGGAUCACUGGCUGGGUGGCCAAUCCAUAGUGGACCUCGCGCCAACCAUUGCCUCCUUGGUUCCCCGCAGACGAUGCUGGACAUGCACUUUGGCCGAGGGGUUGGACUAG
rnacentral:rRNA from 1 species